AUUGAACGCUGGCGGCAGGCCUAACACAUGCAAGUCGAACGAGUGGCGGACGGGUGAGUAAUGUCUGGGGAUCUGCCCGAUGGAGGGGGAUAACUACUGGAAACGGUAGCUAAUACCGCAUACCAUCGGAUGUGCCCAUAUGGGAUUAGCUAGUAGGUGGGGUAAAGGCUCACCUAGGCGACGAUCCCUAGCUGGUCUGAGAGGAUGACCAGCCACACUGGAACUGAGACACGGCCCAGACUCCUACGGGAGGCAGCAGUGGGGAAUAUUGCACAAUGGGCGCAAGCCUGAUGUAGCCAUGCCGCGUGUAUGAAGAAGGCCUUCGGGUUGUAAAGUACUUUCAGCGGGGAGGCGUUACUCGCAGAAGAAGCACCGGCUAACUCCGUGCCAGCAGCCGCGGUAAUUC
rnacentral:rRNA from 1 species